rnacentral:rRNA from 1 species
GACGAACGCUGGCGGCGUGCUUAACACAUGCAAGUCGAGCGAGUGGAGUUCUUCGGAACAAAGCUAGCGGCGGACGGGUGAGUAACACGUGGGCAACCUGCCUCAUAGAGGGGAAUAGCCUCCCGAAAGGGAGAUUAAUACCGCAUAAGAUUGUAGCUUCGCAUGAAGUAGCAAUUAAAGGAGCAAUUCGCUAUGAGAUGGGCCCGCGGCGCAUUAGCUAGUUGGUGAGGUAACGGCUCGCCAAGGCGACGAUGCGUAGCCGACCUGAGAGGGUGAUCGGCCACAUUGGGACUGAGACACGGCCCAGACUCCUACGGGAGGCAGCAGUGGGGAAUAUUGCACAAUGGGGGAAACCCUGAUGCAGCAACGCCGCGUGAGUGAUGACGGCCUUCGGGUUGUAAAGCUCUGUCUUCAGGGACGAUAAUGACGGUACCUGAGGAGGAAGCCACGGCUAACUACGUGCCAGCCGCCGCAGUAAUAC